CACGUAGGGUGCGAGCGUUGUCCGGAAUUAUUGGGCGUAAAGAGCUCGUAGGCGGUGUGUCGCGUCGGCCGUGAAAACCUGUGGCUUAACUAUGGGCUUGCGGUCGAUACGGGCAUCACUGGAGUUCGGCAGGGGAGACUGGAAUUCCUGGUGUAGCGGUGAAAUGCGCAGAUAUCAGGAGGAACACCGGUGGCGAAGGCGGGUCUCUGGGCCGAUACUGACGCUGAGGAGCGAAAGCAUGGGGAGCGAACAGG
rnacentral:rRNA from 1 species